UACGGAGGGUGCAAGCGUUAUCCGGAUUCACUGGGCUUAAAGGGUGCGUAGGAGGGCAGGUAAGUCAGUGGUGAAAUCCCCGAGCUUAACUUGGGAACUGCCAUUGAUACUAUCAGUCUUGAAUAUUGUGGAGGUCAGCGGAAUAUGUCAUGUAGCGGUGAAAUGCUUAGAGAUGACAUAGAACACCAAUUGCGAAGGCAGCUGGCUACACAUAUAUUGACACUGAGGCUCGAAAGCGUGGGGAUCAAACAGG
rnacentral:rRNA from 1 species